GACGAACGCUGGCGGCGUGCUUAACACAUGCAAGUCGAACGAUGAAGCCGGAGCUUGCUCUGGUGAAUUAGUGGCGAACGGGUGAGUAACACGUGAGUAACCUGCCCUUGACUCUGGGAUAACUGCGGGAAACUGUAGCUAAUACCGGAUACGACCCUCGGAGGCAUCUCCUGGGGGUGGAAAGAAUUUCGGUCAAGGAUGGACUCGCGGCCUAUCAGCUAGUUGGUGAGGUAAAGGCUAACCAAGGCGACGACGGGUAGCCGGCCUGAGAGGGUGACCGGCCACACUGGGACUGGGACACGACCCAGACUCCUACGGGAGGCAGCAGUGGGGAAUAUUGCACAAUGGGCGCAAGCCUGAUGCAGCAACGCCGCGUGAGGGAUGACGGCCUUCGGGUUGUAAACCUCUUUUAGUAGGGAAGAAGCGAAAGUGACGGUACCUGCAGAAAAAGCACCGGCUAACUACGUGCCAGCAGCCGCCGUAA
rnacentral:rRNA from 1 species